AACGAACGCUGGCGGCAUGCCUAACACAUGCCAGUCGAACGAGACCUUCGGGUCUAGUGGCGCACGGGUGCGUAACGCGUGGGAAUCUGCCCUUGGGUUCGGAAUAACAGUUGGAAACGACUGCUAAUACCGGAUGAUGACGUAAGUCCAAAGAUUUAUCGCCCAAGGAUGAGCCCGCGUAGGAUUAGCUAGUUGGUGAGGUAAAGGCUCACCAAGGCGACGAUCCUUAGCCGGUCUGAGAGGAUGAUCAGCCACACUGGGACUGAGACACGGCCCAGACUCCUACGGGAGGCAGCAGUGGGGAAUAUUGGACAAUGGGCGAAAGCCUGAUCCAGCAAUGCCGCGUGAGUGAUGAAGGCCUUAGGGUUGUAAAGCUCUUUUACCCGGGAUGAUAAUGACAGUACCGGGAGAAUAAGCUCCGGCUAACUCCGUG
rnacentral:rRNA from 1 species